ensembl:lncRNA
UCUCUUUUCUCUCCCUCUCUGUCCCUCCCUCCCUCCCUCUUUCUGCCUCUGUUCUGCCACCUUCUCUACUCCGCGAUCAGCAUUUGGCUUUUUCCAUUUGUGGCAGAUUACUGUAACGCUAUUGUACGACAACUUCCUGCCUCUUUUUUGGCUCCGGUUCUAAAAAAAAAAACCUGCUAAAAGGAGAGCAUCGUGGCUUCAACUUCCCCCCCCCCCUCCUCGGCCUUGAACUACAGGAGCUGUAUAAGGAAAGAAAAGGAGGAAGGAGAUAUGUAAAGUGUGUCUGUUACUGAGGAACUAUUUUGGUUGCAUUUCUGCUUUAUAAACUGCUGAGAAUUAAAGAGGGGACGACAUGCCUAGCAGAGACAAUGAGAGAGAAGAAAAGGAUUUGGAAAGAAGAAGAAGAAGAAGAGGAGGAAAGAAGAAGAAGAAGAAGAAGAAGAAGAAGAAGAAGAAGAAGAAGAAGAGGAGGAAAAGAAGCACACAGAGAGAAAGAGCAAGGGAGAGUUUCUCCUGGGAAAUUAUGGACCUAUUCGAUAUCAGACCUCAGAGUGGACGACCUAUCCGAAGAGGGACGCGCCCUAACUGUAACUAACAACUACUUCUGGCAGCGCUUCAACAGCCAAACAUAUUGUCCUGGAUCAGGGCAGCUUUCGUAUGGCAGCAUCCAACUAGGGCAGCUUAGGCAAGACAUUCGCAUCAAACUACAGCACCAAUAAUGGCAUUAAAAUGCAGUAAAUAAUUAAUUUUUAUGAGAUACAGAUCAAGCUGUAACCUUUGAUGGAGAUUUUGCUAAUCAAACUUUGAUAAGACGACAGAAAAAAACAAAUUAAACUAAGAUUUCUACAGUUUGAAGCACAAAAAGGGGGACAAUCCUGACAGAUCUUAUUUUAGUACAGCUAAAUAUUAUCCUCGCUAUUAUUAUGUAUUACAUAAAUGUUUACACUCUUACCAAAAUGAACCCCUGAUACAACAGGGUGCUGAUUUAUUUUUAAAAUACAUUUUCAGUUAACCCUAUCUGACAAAACCAUAUUAUAGCACAACAAUGUUUUACAUUAACCUGUGACGUUGAGAUUUACUUUAUAUAUAGAAUGAUUUGAUAUUAAAACAUACAAAAGCUUUCUUCACAUUAAAUCAAAGAACUCAUUUAAAUAGAGUUACUAUCUAUUAAAUGUAAUGUUAUUAUGGUCAUCUCGAGAGAUAUUUCAAUGUAGUAAAAACUUUGUAUCAUUUAAGCAACAUAAUAAUAAGUAUUAAGUGGUGUUACCCAAACUGCACUGUAAAAACACUGAUCUAAAAAUCAUGUUAACAGAGCUGUCGGGACAAAUCCUCACAAGUCAAUGACGCGCAAUAAUAACAAAAACAAAUUCUCCUUUUCUGUCUACUUGACUAGCCUUUGCCGGCUUCUACAUACCUGAACUCUCCCUUUGCUGUCUUCCCCUGAGAGCUGCUAAUACCUACUUUAAACAGCCUUGGCCAUUUUGUUUUCUUCUUCCUCAACACUAAGCUCGGAGAGCACAGGCCUGGCAUUUCAGGGGCCACGUCACAACGCCUGUGUCUGCGCUGCAGGGCUGCAAGGAGUCCAACAGCCACGGCAUACGCACUCAGCGAUUCCCUGGCUCAACAAACACUUUCAGCACUGUUUUGUUUUCUCAGACACUCUCUCUAGCAUCCUUGCCCUAUUGAGAAGAGCAAAACAUGCACCGAAUAUGCUUUAUAUAUAUAUAUUUCAUAAACGUGCUGUCCUCCAGGUGUCUUCUCCAACACAGAGCCACUGAGCCUUCAGCUUCACAGCUAUUCCUCUCGUCUGAUUACCGCAGUAAAGUUAUCUCAGUCGCAAAAUAGAUAUAGAUACUAAUCCAAUUCCAUAUUCAGCAAUGCCAUUUAAUGGAGGUUGAUAACCGCUUCUAACUUCCUGCACAGUAAAACUAAAUCUGUGGCAUCCUUUAAAAAGGGAACAGAGUACUGAUAUUAAUAUGAAAGUGUCAAGAAUAAAAACACUGAUUAGGUCGAUUCCACCGGGCUGAUAGACUGUAAUUGAUGUGCAUCAUUUUAUUAGCAGAAGGAUAUUUAGCUACAACAGCAUGGCUCCUUCAAAUCCAGUAAAAUAUUAUUUCUAAGGGGAAAGCCAUGACUCCAAACUGCUUUUUUUUUAUUGUAUUUAAAGCGACACAGUACAUUUAAAAAUGUACAUUUGCACAUGUGCUUCUUUAAUUAUAGUUAUUACUUUUGCUGUGUGUGGUUUUCCAUAUUUUACAGCAUGCAGGCAUUGGAAGUAGUGGUCAUCUGAGGACAUAUUGUAAAGAAUCAUUACUGUAAAUAUUUCUUUUUGAGAAGCUAGUGUCUUCAAGCGGACAGAAAAGUUCAUAUGGAUACAGUAACUUGUUCUACUACUCUGUAUUAUGUUUGUGCUCUUUCAGAGUAGGGCUGAAUAAUUUAUCGAAAUGUUAUCGAAAUCACAAUAUGCACUAGUGCAAUAUCAAAAUUGCAGGAGGUGCAUUAUUUGGUAUUUUUACACAUAUUUUGCUAUAACAUUCUGAAUUAAAUAUUGUGGUGCAACAGAGAAGUCUCACAGAAACAACAGAUGCUCGCAAAAAUAUCACAAGUCAAAGAAAACGAGAAUAAUGAUGCAAAACAUUAUCAUUCCCUCCAAUAGCAUGACUCAUAUCUCAAUUGCAAUAUCAGGGAAAAUAAUCAGAUAUGCUUUUCAAAUUGUUCAGCCCUACACCACAGGAGCAAUUAUAGACACUGAGGAACGUGGUCAUCUGAGGACACGUUCUACAAAGGGGGUUGUGUCUGUAGAUGUGAAGUUGUUUGGUCUCUGUACUUCAUGCGGAAGUUUUUCUCAACAGUUUAGUUGUUUGCUGGUAACAUAAAAUGAAUAUGCCGUAUAAUUUAUCUAAAUAUUAUCAAGUUAUCUGUUAAUGUGAAAUAACUCUUUCCCUGGAAAUGUUUUAUGUUGCCCGUUUUUCCAUAUAAAAUCAUUAGAGUUGCAUGUCAUGUGAAGUGUGUGUGUGUGUGUGUGUGUGUGUGUGUGUGUGUGUGUGUGUGUGUGUGUGUGUGUGCCUUGUUCCUCAUGAUUAUGGCUUGACACAUAAAAGAAGUUACAGGGUAAACAUUAGUCUUCAGUUAAUCGUUGCUAAAUUCGUCUUCAGUGUCCUUGUGUGUAAAUGAUAUCCACUCCUUAUGCUAAAUUGUGCUGACUACAGGGUGCGUAAUACUUCUCUGCUCUGCCCAUCAUAAUCA